rnacentral:rRNA from 1 species
CCUACGGGUGGCUGCAGUGGGGAAUAUUGGUCAAUGGGCGCGAGCCUGACCCAGCAACGCCGCGUGAAGGAAGAAGGCUUUCGGGUUUUAAACUUUUUUUUUCAGGGGCAUAGCAAGUGCCACUACCUGACGAAUAAGCCACGCCUAACUAGGGGCCAGCAGCCGCGGUAAUACGGCGGUGGCAAUCGUUCUCCGGAUGUGCUGGGUGUAAGGGUUUAGUAGGCGGGUAGGUAAGUCAGAUGUGAAAUCCACUGGCUCAACCUGGUGCUUGAAUGUGCAACUGAUAUUCUUGAGUGCUGGAGAGGGAAUGGGAAUGCCGGGUGUAGCGGUGAAAUGCGUAGAUAUACGGAGGAACACCAGUGGCGAAGGCGGAUUGCUGGACAGUAACUGACGCUGAGGCGCGAAAGCGUGGGGAGCAAACAGGAUUAGAUACCCGAGUAGUC